rnacentral:lncRNA from 1 species
GAGGAAAGUAAUAACAGAGAACACCUUUCUGAAGUUUAGGGCCGGUUCCAGGCACAGCUAUAUAUUAUUAGCCCCUAUAUUUUAAAGAAGUAUUAUGUAUGGGUUACAUGGUAUUUAUUAAUUAAAAUUAACCUAAAAAAGUUUAUGGCCUCUUAAAUCUUAAAUCAGGUCAUCCGGUCCUGUGAAGUUUACUCAGAGCAUGAGCAUUGGUGAACCCCUCUUUGGAGUUCACAAGUUUAUUUUAAUAUUUUUUUGUGGGUCCAUGAAUAGUUAUGAACUUGUAAUUGUUUUUUUCUGUAUUGGUGAACCUGAAGUAUGAGUUCAUAACAAUAAAAUAAUAAUAUAUUUUUUUUUUUUUGGGUAUGUUGGAUUUUCCAUGAAAUAGUCUUUCCAUAGUUGAUUGUGUCCUUGUUCUCGGUCUC